rnacentral:lncRNA from 1 species
AUCAUGAACGACAAAUCUGAAAUUUCUUUCAAAAAUACGAUUAGACGAGUGUAAGAGAAAUUCAAAAUAUCAUUGAUGGACAUGGAAUGCAAGUGAAAACAAUUUUCAUUAGGCUUUGGAACACAAGUUAUUUCGAAGUCAAAAGUGAAGCAAAAGCUUGUGUGCAAAGUUAAAGCCUAUUUCAAAUUUAUGAAUAUCAUAAAAGAAAAAAGGAAUUGCUAUUGGUAGAAAUGUGUUUCAAACAAGUUGUUCAAGCAUAGAGC